rnacentral:rRNA from 1 species
UACGUAGGGAGCAAGCGUUGUCCGGAAUCAUUGGGCGUAAAGCGCGCGUAGGCGGCCCUGUAAGUCCGUUGUGAAAGUCAAAGGCUCAACCUUUGAAAGCCGAUGGAUACUGCAGGGCUAGAGUCCGGAAGAGGCGAGUGGAAUUCCUGGUGUAGCGGUGGAAUGCGCAGAUAUCAGGAGGAACACCAAUAGCGAAGGCAGCUCGCUGGGCCGAUACUGACGCUGAGGAGCGAAAGCGUGGGGAGCAAACAGG